AUGUUGUUAAUAAUACAAUGGAAUGCCCGAAGCCUAAUAGCAAAUGGACAAGAGUUUAAAUCUUUUAUAGAUGGAAUGGUGAAAAAUCCAGAUGUUAUUUGUAUUCAGGAAACAUGGCUUAGUCCAAAUUUAGAUUUUGUGAUACAGGGUUAUGUGGCGGCUCGUCGAGAUAGAAAAGAAGGAGGUGGGGGAGGGUGUGUUACAUUUAUUAGACAGGGGCUUCCAUAUAGGAUUCUGGGAUUGGGAAAGGAGUUGGAAUAUGUGGUGGUGGAAGUGUGGAUAGGGAUGGAAAGUAUAACAAUAAUUAACUUUUACAAUCCAUGUAGGAGAUUGGACUUAAAUUCAAUGGAAGAGGUUGAGGGACAGGAUAGACAAAAGGUAGAAUGGUGUGGGGACUUUAACACUCACAGUCCACUUUGGGGUAGGAAGAAGAUGGACAGAAAUGGUCAGGUGAUAGAGUUGUUGUUGGAUUUAAAAGGGCUGGUGUGUCUUAAUGAUGGUAGAGGAACAAGAAUUGAUAUGGUAUCAGGAAAUGAGUCAGCGUUAGAUCUUACAAUUACUUCUAAUCAUAUAGCAAGAUUAUGUGAAUGGGAGGUAUGGGAGGAAUCAACGGUACGAAGUGAUCAUUUUCCUAUAUUAUGUUCUAUUAAAAAGAGGAUGGAAAGACAGUCUGAAGAGGGAGGAAGGAGAUGGGUGUUUGGUAAGGCAAAUUGGGCAAAAUUUAAGGAGUUAUGUGAGGAAAGGUUAGAUGGGGAGGUUAGAGAUAUGGAUAUUGAUAGAGAAUACAGUAGUUUCCAGGAAAUUAUUAAAGGGGUGACAGAUGAAACUAUUCCUAAGAGCUCUGGAAUAAGGAGAAGGAAAGUGGUUCCUUGGUGGACAGAGGAAUGUAGAGAAGUAGUAAGGAAUGGGAAUAGGGCUUUAUUCCUAAAGAGACUGUCUGAUCAAGUAUCUGUAUUUACAGUGGAAUUGAUGGGUAUCUGGUUGGCUCUACAGUGGGUAGAAGAAACAAGACCAGAUAAAGUUGUAAUUUGCUCAGACUCUAGUGCAGUCCUAAAGAGUUUGCAAUCAUUUAAGUCACAAUCAAUACAAGACAUAGUAUAUGAGGUACUAGAAUGUUACUCAAGGAUUUCUCAAUUGGGGGGUGAAGGUAAAAUUUACAUGGGUACCAGCUCAUGUGGGUGUUAA
ensembl:lncRNA